rnacentral:lncRNA from 1 species
ACUCGGUGCUACGGUCUCCUCAGGACAGUUCUGUUCAAGUUGUAUGUCUUCAGACCUUAUCACUUCUCCUUCGUAGUCUGCCCAUCCGUCCUUGAUGAUUUGCCUUCUCUGGUUGCGGUUGCGUCGUCUUCUUCUUGUCCUGACCUGCUUAGAAUCUUCAACUAUAUAGUUAGGGUCAGUAAAAUAGCGGUGUACCUUCUCAUAGGGGAAGUGCAUGUGGACUUCUCCGGUUCCAAUGUAGAUGAUUGCUUUAGCGGUGCUGAGGAACGGUCUCCAAGGAUGAUGGGUAGAUCGUACUCGUCUUCUCCCAUGUCAAUACCCUGAAUGAUCUGUCAUCUGGAGCUGAAUGUAUGUCGAUUUUAGGGGCAUGGUUCUGAAUAGGAGCUGAUAGGUGACUGCGGCCA